rnacentral:rRNA from 1 species
GACGUAGGGCGCGAGCGUUGUCCGGUAUUUGAUUGGGUCGUAAAGAGCUCGUAGGCGGCUUGUCGCGUCGAAUGUGAAAACUCGGGGCUCAACUCCGAGCUUGCAUUCGAUACGGGCAGGCUAGAGUUCGGUAGGGGAGACUGGAAUUCCUGGUGUAGCGGUGAAAUGCGCAGAUAUCAGGAGGAACACCGAUGGCGAAGGCAGGUCUCUGGGCCGAUACUGACGCUGAGGAGCGAAAGCGUGGGGAGCGAACAGG